rfam:Oryza glumipatula chromosome 4, whole genome shotgun sequence.
AAAAAGUCAAACCGCAGAUUUCCGUGCCAACGUUUGACUGUCCGUCUUAUAUGAAAAUUUUUUAUAAUUAGUAUUUUUAUUGUUGUUAGAUGAUAAAACAUGAUUAAUACUUUAUGCAUGACUUAUCUUUUUAAUUUUUUUUCAUAAUUUUUUUAAAUAAGACGGACGGUCAAACGUUGGAUACGGAAACCAGGGUUUGUCUUUUU